ACCGAGAACAAUUAAAUCGAGCUUACAGACAAGGAUCUAGCUCAAAACAGUUAGAUUUUGUUGUUGACGUUGAGUGUACUCUGUAACAAUGAUGUUGUCAUGAGUGCUAGGCGGGCCCACUACGACAAAGACGAUGAGAGUGCUAGGUAAAGAUCGAGCUCCUGGUGUCUGAUAGACUGUCUUAUUCUGCUGAAGUUCCCAUAUCGAUUGCCAGUACGUGGUUAGAGAUGUAUAUUGAGUCU